UCUAACACAGAAUAAAGAAAAAGGAGAGCAGGUUUAUGCCAUCAUCUCUUGAUUAUCUUUUCUAAAACAGAAAAUGGAAAUAGAGGUUUGUCGCUCCAUUAUGAGUGUUGUCUAGAAAUUAAUUCUCCGAAUAUUCUUGCAGAGCACUUGUAAACCCGAAUGGCCAGCUCAUGCUACAUCUUUUUAGUUGAUUAGAUCGUAGACUGCGAUGGCGCAGUUUUUAGUCUGGUUAUGUUGUUUGUUGGCUGUGGUGUCCAGAGCCCACCCUUCAUGAAGUUUAGUUUCCUGAGAACCCGUGCUUAAACUUGAAAAAUAUUUUGUGAAGGGCGAGCCCGGAUAAGAUCAUAUUCUUACAAAAUCACAUGAGGGGCUGGGGGAGUUUGAUGAGCGAAGGCUAGAGGAGGCAGCAGAACAGGGCUAAUUGGGCAGGUUUCCCUUUCAACUUUCAAGAAAGAGGAGAUGACUUCACCUAACCAAACCAGGUUACUGGCGUGCCAAAUCCAACCAACAACCUAAAGGCCAAAAACAACGAGAAAUCAAGAUGCACACGCCAUCAACAGCAAAAAAACAAACAAGAAAAAGGAGAAUAUAUAUAUAUAUAUAUAUAUAUAUGUAUAUAUAUCUACACAUGUAAAUAAUAUAAAGAAUCCACCAAAGCACCUCCCCUUGCUCGUUAGUCGUCGUCGUCGUUAUCAAUUCACUCAAACCAUCUCCCAUGUUUUGGAUCUUCUCCUCGCUUUCUCUGCUUCUUGUUAUAGUUCUUUAAUUUUUUUGUGACCAUUUAGUGUAUAUUAGUUCCCCCCAUGUGCAGUGGAGCUUGGAGGGAUGGAUGGGUUCAUUAAGUAACGAGUAAUUAAAAUCAGCGAGUGGGCCGUUGAGCAGGCAACACGCCCGACAAAAUUGGGGGGCGGGGGCAAAAA